rnacentral:lncRNA from 10 species
CACAAAUAUUCCAGGCAAAAACAAAUAAGAAGAAAGCAGGGAUUGCAAUGUUCAAAACAAAGUAAAAUUCAAGAUUAAAAUCAUUAAUUUUACAGGCAGUGUUUCUUAUAUACUCUGGUUAUUAAUGCUUUGUUAGAUGGAUAGUUUGCAGAUGUUUUCUUAUAUUCUGUGGGUUGUCUCUUCACUUUGUUGAUUGUUUCCUUUGCUAUGCAGAAGCCUUUUCACUUGAUGUGAGCCCAUUUGUCCAUUUUUACUUUGGUUGCCUGUGUUUGUAGGGUAUUACCCAAGAAGUUUUUGCCCAGAGCAAUGUCCUGGAGAUUUUUCCCCAUGUUUUCUUGUAGUUGUUUCAUAGUUUAAUGUCUUAGAUUUAAGUGUUAAUCCAUUUUGAUUUGAUUUUUGUAUAUAGCAAGAGAUAGGGGUCUAAUUUCAGUCUUCUGCAUAUGGAUAUCCAGUUUUCCCAGCACCAUCUAUUGAAGAGACUGUCUUUUCCUGUUCUUGGCACCUUUGUCAAAAAUGAGUUCACUCAGUGUGUGGAUUUGUUUCUGGGUUCUCUAUUCUGUUCCAUUGGUCAAUGUGUCUGUUUUUAUGCCAGUACCAUGCUGGUUUGGUUGCUAUAGCUCUGCAGUAUAAUUUGAAGUCAGGUAAUGUGAUUCCUCCAGAUUUGUUCCUUUUGCUUAGUAUAGCUUUGGCUAUUCUGGGUCUUUUAUGGUUCCAUAUAAAUUUUAGUAUUGUUUUUUCUAUUUCUAUGAAGAAUGUCAUUGAUAUUUUGAUAGGGAUUGCAUGAAAUCUGUAGAUUGCUUUGGGUAGUAUGGACAUUUUAACAAUGUUGAUUCUUCCAAUCCAUGAACAUGGAAUAUCUUUCCACUUUUUUGGUAUCCUCUUCAAUUUCUUUCAUCAGUGUUUUACAGUUUUCAUUACAGAGAUCUUUCACUUCUUUGGUUACGUUAAUUCCUAAGUAUGUAAUUUUAUUUGUGGCUAUUAUAAAUGGGAUUACUUUUUUAUUUCUUUUUCAGAUUGUUCACUGUUGCAUACAGAAAUGCUUCUGAUUUUUUAUGUUGAUUUUUUAUCCUACAACUUUACUGAAUUUAUCAGUUUUAAUAGUUUUUUUGUGGAACCUUGAGGUUUUUCCACAUACAAGAUCAUAUCAUCUGCAAACAAGUUUAAUUUGACUUCUUCCUUUCCAGUUUGGAUGCCUUUUAUUUCUUUCUCUUGUCUGAUUGCUUUAGCUAGGACUUCCAGCACUAUAUUGAAUAACAUUGGUGAAAGGGGGCAUCUUUGUCAUAUUCCAUAUCUUAGAGGAAAGGGUUUCAGUUUUUCCUCAUUCAGUAUGAUACUAGCUGUAGGUCUGUGGUAUAUGGCUUUUAUUAUGUUGAGGUAUGUUCCUUCUAUACCUAGUUUUUUUAUAAGGGUUCUUAUCACGAAGGUAUGCUGAACUUUAUCAAAUGCUUUUUCAGCAUCUACUGAAAUGACCGUAUGGAUUUUGUCCUUCAUUCUGUUGAUAUGAUGUAUUACAUUAAUUGAUUUGCAUAUGUUGAACCAUCCUUGCAUCCCAGGGAUAAAUCCCACUUGGUCAUGAUGAAUAAUCUUCUUAAUGUAUUCUUGAAUUAGAUUUGCUAGUAAUUUGUUGAAGAUUUUUAUCAGAUAUUCAUCAGAGACCAAUGCCUGUAGUUAGUUUCCUUCCUUCCUUCCUUCCUUCCUUCCUUCCUUCCUUCCUUUCUCUCUUUCUCUCUUUCUUUUUGGUGAUGUGUAUUUGUCUGGUUUUUGGAAUCAGGAUAAUAUUGGCCUUGGCCUUGUAGAAUGAGUUUGGAAAUAUCCCUUCCUCUUCUAUAGUUUGAGUAGGAUUGGUAUUGGUUCUUCUUUAAAUGUUUGGUAGAAUUAAGCAGUGAAGCCAUUGGGUCCCAGGCUAUUCUUUUUUUUUUUUUUUUUUUUUUUGAGACAGAGUUUCACUCUUGUUGCCCAGGCUGGAGUGCAAUGAUGCAAUCUUGGCUCACCGCAACCUCCGCCUUCUGGGUUCAAGUGAUUCUGUUGCCUCAGCCUCCCAAGUAGCUGGGAUUACAGGCAUGCGCCACUACGCCCAGCUAAUAUUUUGUAUUUUUAGUAGACAAGGGGUUUCUCCAUGUUGGUCAGGCUGGUCUCAAACUCCUGACCUCAGGUGAUCUGCCCACCUCGGCCUCCCAAAGUGCUGGGAUUAUGGGCAUGAGCCACUGCACCU